AGUGAACGCUGGCGGUAGGCCUAACACAUGCAAGUCGAACGGCAGCACAGUAAGAGCUUGCUCUUACGGGUGGCGAGUGGCGGACGGGUGAGGAAUACAUCGGAAUCUACUUUUUCGUGGGGGAUAACGUAGGGAAACUUACGCUAAUACCGCAUACGACCUACGGGUGAAAGCAGGGGAUCUUCGGACCUUGCGCGAUUGAAUGAGCCGAUGUCGGAUUAGCUAGUUGGCGGGGUAAAGGCCCACCAAGGCGACGAUCCGUAGCUGGUCUGAGAGGAUGAUCAGCCAAACUGGAACUGAGACACGGUCCAGACUCCUACGGGAGGCAGCAGUGGGGAAUAUUGGACAAGGGGCGCAAGCCUGAUCCAGCCAUACCGCGUGGGUGAAGAAGGCCUUCGGGUUGUAAAGCCCUUUUGUUGGGAAAGAAAAGCAGCAGGUUAAUACCCCGCUGUUCUGACGGUACCCAAAGAAUAAGCACCGGCUAACUUCGUG
rnacentral:rRNA from 1 species